GAUGCCAGCACCUGCCUCCCUGACUCUGUCCUCUCCCACAGCUCAUCGGGGCCACAGGCAUCUCCUAUGGCAUGGGUCUGAAGCACAGAUUUGAGGCUGGUGCCCCCAGUGGCCCCCAACACCAAGCUGUUCUCAAAGCUCGUGGGCAGCGCCUUCACCAUCGCUGUGGUUGGGUUUGCCAUUGCCAUCUCACUGGGGAAGAUCUUCGCCCUGAGGCACGGCUACCGGGUGGACAGCAACCAGGAGCUGGUGGCCCUGGGCCUCAGUAACCUCAUCGGAGGCAUCUUCCAGUGCUUCCCCGUGAGUUGCUCUAUGUCUCGGAGCCUGGUACAGGAGAGCACCGGGGGCAACUCGCAGGUUGCUGGAGCCAUCUCUUCCCUUUUCAUCCUCCUCAUCAUUGUCAAACUUGGGAAACUCUUCCAUGACCUGCCCAAGGCGGUCCUGGCAGCCAUCAUCAUUGUGAACCUGAAGGGCAUGCUGCGGCAGCUCAGCGACAUGCGCUCCCUCUGGAAGGCCAAUCGGGCGGAUCUGCUUAUCUGGCUGGUGACCUUCACGGCCACCAUCUUGCUGAACCUGGACCUUGGCUUGGUGGUUGCGGUCAUCUUCUCCCUGCUGCUCGUGGUGGUCCGGACACAGAUGUGAGUCCGCCAUGUUGGUCCCCUCAUUCCAGCUAGUGAGAGAGUGCCACAGGGCUCCCCGCAGCUUUCCCCACAUCUCUGGGGACUUCAGGCUCCUUCGGACCCCUCCGUUAUCCCCUUUUUCUGCCCCCUCUUCGUGCAUUCUCUCUCUCCUUCACAGGCCCCACUACUCUGUCCUGGGGCAGGUGCCAGACACGGAUAUUUACAGAGAUGUGGCAGAGUACUCAGAGGCCAAGGAAGUCCCGGGGGUGAAGGUCUUCCGCUCCUCGGCCACCGUGUACUUUGCCAAUGCUGAGUUCUACAGUGAUGCGCUGAAGCAGAGGGUGAGACGGAGUCCCCAGGAUGGGUGUCAGGCCCCAGCUCCCAGAGAGCUCACCAACCCUUCUCUGAUGUUUGCCUCCAGUGUGGUGUGGAUGUCGACUUCCUCAUCUCCCAGAAGAAGAAACUGCUCAAGAAGCAGGAGCAGCUGAAGCUGA
rnacentral:sRNA from 1 species